AGUGAACGCUGGCGGUAGGCCUAACACAUGCAAGUCGAACGGCAGCACAGUAAGAGCUUGCUCUUACGGGUGGCGAGUGGCGGACGGGUGAGGAAUACAUCGGAAUCUACUUUUUCGUGGGGGUUAACGUAGGGAAACUUACGCUAAUACCGCAUACGACCUACGGGUGAAAGCAGGGGAUCUUCGGACCUUGCGCGAUUGAAUGAGCCGAUGUCGGAUUAGCUAGUUGGCGGGGUAAAGGCCCACCAAGGCGAGGAUCCGUAGCUGGUCUGAGAGGAUGGUCAGCCACACUGGAACUGAGACACGGUCCAGACUCCUACGGGAGGCAGCAGUGGGGAAUAUUGGACAAUGGGCGCAAGCCUGAUCCAGCCAUACCGCGUGGGUGAAGAAGGCCUUCGGGUUGUAAAGCCCUUUUGUUGGGAAAGAAAAGCAGCAGGUUAAUACCCCGCUGUUCUGACGGUACCCAAAGAAUAAGCACCGGCUAACUUCGUG
rnacentral:rRNA from 1 species